rnacentral:lncRNA from 1 species
UAAACAAUUGUUUUUUUUUUUUUUUUUUUUUUUUCAUUUUUACAGACCUUUUUGCAAUUUCUUAUAGAUUUAUAUAACAUUUUUUUAAAAAUUGAUGAAUUUUUUUUAACUUAUAAAAAUGAGUUUUCACUACUUACUUAUACUGGUCCUAUGUUACUGACUAAUUGUCUUUAUGAUGACAUUAUUUAUUGACUACAGUGGUUGAGAACUCUGAUGACAUAACAGUUAGCCAAUAUGGAAAAGAAUAUAUUUUACACCUAGAACAGUUAGUUGAACAUAAUAAAAUAAAAUUUUUAGCCCAUUGUUAUUUAUUUUACAAAAAUUUUCAUCUAACGAAAGAACACUUAUUAAAUAGCAUUUGUAAGCAUUUAGAUAUUAGUAAAACAUUAAAGUCGUCAAAAUAUGUUUCAGAUGUAGAUAACUUUGAAUAUUGUAUAAACAAGAUGAGCAGAAAGUGGAGUAGGUGGGAAAAAGACAGUUUCUUGGAUGGUCUUCACGAUGCAACAGCUAAAAUGAUGAUACUAACAAAGCAUUUUCAAAGUAUAAAAAAUUAAAUAAGUUUAUAAUUUUUUUUUUUUCAUAUUGUUAGAAAUGUUAUUUCCUGUGCUUAUUUUUUUGAUAUUGGCUUAAACACAUAUAUUUACAUAUUUUAAUAUUUUAAUUUACUAUAAUAUUACUUUUUAUUGUUGUAAAAAAUAUGUUAAGAAGUUACAAAUAUGUACAAGACAAAAAAAAAAAAAAUAAAUAAAAUAAAAAAUUAAUAAAUAAAAUUACA